rnacentral:rRNA from 1 species
UUUGCCUACGGGGGGCAGCAGUGAGGAAUAUUGGUCAAUGGUCGGGAGACUGAACCAGCCAAGCCGCGUGAGGGGUGAAGGUACAGAGUAUCGUAAACCUCUUUUGUCAGGGAACAAAGGCGGGGACGCGUCCCCGGAUGAGUGUACCUGAAGAAAAAGCAUCGGCUAACUCCGUGCCAGCAGCCGCGGUAAUACGGAGGAUGUGAGCGUUAUCCGGAUUUAUUGGGCGUAAAGGGCUCGUAGGCGGUUCGUCGCGUCCGGUGUGAAAGUCCAUCGCUUAACGGUGGAUCCG